UACGGGGGGGGCAAGCGUUGUUCGGAAUUACUGGGCGUAAAGGGCGCGUAGGCGGUUUGCUAAGUUGAAUGUGAAAACUCUGGGCUUAACCCAGAGCCUGCAUUCAAUACUGGCAGGCUAGAGUUCUGGAGGGGAUAGCGGAAUUCCUGGUGUAGCGGUGAAAUGCGUAGAUAUCAGGAAGAACACCCGUGGCGAAGGCGGCUCUCUGGGACGGUACUGACGCUGAGACGCGAAAGCGUGGGGAGCGAACAGG
rnacentral:rRNA from 1 species